UUCGCCCUUAGAGUUUGAUCCUGGCUCAGGACGAACGCUGGCGGCGCGCCUAACACAUGCAAGUCGAACGGAGCUUAGAGAGCUUGCUUUUCUUGACUUAGUGGCGAACGGGUGAGUAACGCGUGAGUAACCUGCCCUGGAGUGGGGGACAACAGUUGGAAACGACUGCUAAUACCGCAUAAGCCCACGGAUCCGCAUGGAUCUGCGGGAAAAGGAUUUAUUCGCUUCAGGAUGGACUCGCGUCCAAUUAGCUAGUUGGUGAGGUAACGGCCCACCAAGGCGACGAUUGGUAGCCGGACUGAGAGGUUGAACGGCCACAUUGGGACUGAGACACGGCCCAGACUCCUACGGGAGGCAGCAGUGGGGGAUAUUGCACAUUGGGGGAAACCCUGAUGCAGCGACGCCGCGUGGAGGAAGAAGGUUUUCGGAUUGUAAACUCCUGUCGUUAGGGACGAUAAUGACGGUACCUAACAAGAAAGCACCGGCUAACUACGUGCCAGCAGCCGCGGUAAAACGUAGGGUGCAAGCGUUGUCCGGAAUUACUGGGUGUAAAGGGAGCGCAGGCGGACCGGCAAGUUGGAAGUGAAAACUAUGGGCUCAACCCAUAAAUUGCUUUCAAAACUGCUGGCCUUGAGUAGUGCAGAGGUAGGUGGAAUUCCCGGUGUAGCGGUGGAAUGCGUAGAUAUCGGGAGGAACACCAGUGGCGAAGGCGACCUACUGGGCACCAACUGACGCUGAGGCUCGAAAGCAUGGGUAGCAAACAGGAUUAGAUACCCUGGUAGUCCACGCUGUAAACGAUGAAUACUAGGUGUGCGGGGACUGACCCCCUGCGUGCCGCAGUUAACACAAUAAGUAUUCCACCUGGGGAGUACGAUCGCAAGGUUGAAACUCAAAGGAAUUGACGGGGGCCCGCACAAGCGGUGGAUUAUGUGGUUUAAUUCGACGCAACGCGAAGAACCUUACCAGGGCUUGACAUCCUACUAACGAAGUAGAGAUACAUCAGGUGCCCUUCGGGGAAAGUAGAGACAGGUGGUGCAUGGUUGUCGUCAGCUCGUGUCGUGAGAUGUUGGGUUAAGUCCCGCAACGAGCGCAACCCCUAUUGUUAGUUGCUACGCAAGAGCACUCUAGCGAGACUGCCGUUGACAAAACGGAGGAAGGUGGGGACGACGUCAAAUCAUCAUGCCCCUUAUGUCCUGGGCUACACACGUAAUACAAUGGCGGUCAACAGAGGGAUGCAAAACCGUAAGGUGGAGCGAACCCCUAAAAGCCGUCUCAGUUCAGAUUGUGGGCUGCAACCCGCCCACAUGAAGUCGGAAUCGCUAGUAAUCGCGGAUCAGCAUGCCGCGGUGAAUACGUUCCCGGGCCUUGUACUCACCGCCCGUCA
rnacentral:rRNA from 1 species